rnacentral:rRNA from 1 species
GAUGAACGCUGGCGGCGUGCCUAAUACAUGCAAGUCGAGCGAACGGACGAGAAGCUUGCUUCUCUGAUGUUAGCGGCGGACGGGUGAGUAACACGUGGAUAACCUACCUAUAAGACUGGGAUAACUUCGGGAAACCGGAGCUAAUACCGGAUAAUAUUUUGAACCGCAUGGUUCAAAAGUGAAAGACGGUCUUGCUGUCACUUAUAGAUGGAUCCGCGCUGCAUUAGCUAGUUGGUAAGGUAACGGCUUACCAAGGCAACGAUGCAUAGCCGACGUGAGAGGGUGAUCGGCCACAUUGGAACUGAGACACGGUCCAGACGCCUACGGGAGGCAGCAGUAGGGAAUGUUCCGCAAUAGGCGAAAGCCUGACGGAGCAACGCCGCGUGAGUGAUGAAGGUCUCCGGAUCGUAAAACUCUGUUAUGAGGGAAGAACAUAUGUGUAAGUAACUGUGCACAGCUUGACGGUACCUAAUCAGAAAGCCACGGCUAACUACGUG